rnacentral:lncRNA from 1 species
GCAAAAUACUAAUAAUUCAUAAGCCUUGCCGAGGUAAUGGUGUUUACCUAAAUCUAUUAGUUUGAAGUAUUGAAGUGUUGCAGUUGAGAGGUUGGUGACCAAGUCCCUGUACAAGCACAUUCAUUUUCAUUUAACUUAUUGAUUUCUUUCUCUCCACACUUCCUCCCCCGUCAUUUAGAGCCAAGGAAAGAAGGAAAAUAAACUCAAUUUCUGCCAGCUUUCUGCCCUCUUCUAGCUUUAUCCCUCUCUCUCUUCUUUCAGAAGAAGUCUCUUAUGAAAGAUGGGCAAGACUGGUGGUCAGUACUGCAGGAGGAAUUACUGUGACAGAGCUGGGAGAAAAGUGGAUGCUGGUGGAAGCCAGGGCUUUUCUCACCUGCCUGGCUGGAAGGACCACUCUCUGAGGUCAAUACAGAAGACUAUGAGCACACCUCCCUGUUGUGAGCCCCUAUGCACCCUUCUGCUUUUCUGCAGAAGCCUGGCAAUGAAUUAAGCAUUCAGAACACCAGCUGCUGGAUAAGUGGUUGCAGAGUGACACAGCUACUAAUGAAACACUUAAAACAUCCAUUACUCUUACAGAACUAAUGAGAAUUAGAGUGGAAAACUGAGACCAAAUCAUUCAUACAACAUGUACCAGUAUAUUUAUACAAAUGAGCCGCACAUCUGCAGUUCCACCUAUCCAGGCUACUCAUAGCAGCUGCUCCUUUUAACAGGCUCUUUGUACCCAGGCUGAAGGACUACCUUAGAUUAAUCAUUCUUUACAUCAUUUCUCAUUCUAUCUGUUUUUCUUUACUUGCUUACGACACUUGUUCAUAUAAACAAACAUCAUUUUUCUUACAUGAACACAUACUCCCGUUCUUCCUUCCAUCUAAAAUAAUAAUUUCCUCAAUAAGUUCUCACUAGAAAAUAUUAGACUACCAUCCAUCAAAUUUCUCAAAGAGUUACUGACCAGCCAAAAUUAUUCCUACUAUUCCAAAUUAGCAACAGACCAAUGAAUAUAUGCCAGCCUGAAACUGCUGACUCUACAAAGAAUGAAUAGCCAAAACUGACAUUAGGUAGAUUGUCACCAUACCUUGUGGCACAUCAGUAAUAGUCAGGAUGCCAUCUGCUCCCCAAGAUUCAAUACUUAAUAGGACCAAAGGAUCAGACCUGAGAAGUAGAUUUCCUUUUCCAUAAAAAAAGUUGCUCUUCACCUUUGCAGCUUGUUAUUUUUAUUUUUUUUUUUUUUAUGAGACAAAAACACUUCACUUAUUACUACUUAGUCUGAGAUAGAAGUACCUCAGUGAAAUUUCGCACUGCAAAGAAAGGGACAGAGAAUAAUUCAGUUAAUGAAUUUGUUAGUAAAAAUGCAAUAGAAGAACUAUUCCCCUUCCUCUUCUAUUUAUCUAUUAAGUAUAAGAGAAAAGCUUGUGGAGUAUGUAUUCUAAUGCAAAUGGCAGCUUGUGAAUGUAAUAUAAUCUACAGAACACACUGCAAGCAGUAGAUCUCUUAAAAAAAAAAAUCUCCUUUUGUCUCCUUGACAAAUUGUUUCUACCAUUUGCACUAAUAUGCUAAAUAUGAGGCUGCUAAACACAAUAUGUCGCAUAUUGAGCACUGAGACUUAACCUUUCAGUCUGCUCUAAGAGGAUGUAACAGAUUCCAAAGGAGUCUUUCCAUGUUAUCUUCUGUCUUAUAUCUUUGCAUCAGGUUAGUAAAUUGGCUCCAAAAAAGAAGCUCAUUCAAGAGCAAAACUGUGUUAAGCAAGACAAACGCACAAUUGUCAGACUGCUGAGAUUAUCAUACAGAUGAUGAAAUCCCACUGCACCAAAACAUGUAAAAAUUAGACCAAAACUGCCCUGAAUGGCACUGGCAGCUCCCAAAUCCUCAGACUAGUGAAGAAACCUAAGAGCGCUUCCCACUAACUUCUCUUCAACUACUGAUGCACUGCAAGGUAGCAUGUGCCAGGCCAUAAGAGCAUGCCGUCCAUAAACAAGACUAAACACUCAUUGGAAUAAUUAGUGAAGAGAUUGAGCCUUUCCUCCAGUUUAUUCACUGUCCAAGAAACAACCAUGAAACAUAUAGAAAUUUUUCAUGCAAAGAAACACAAGGUCAGAUGUUUCCACAUACAGAGUGGUAUCACCACUGCUACAGCAUAACACAUUCUGUGUUGGUGAUUUGUAGUUCGUGUUGUAUGCCUGAUUACUUGAGUCACUGGGCAGUAUUUCUCCUGAGAGGUUUCCAAAAGGCUGAUUAGCACUUCCAGAGGAAAUAUUUGGGCAAAAUAUUCUGUUGCCUAAUUAUCUGUUUAUAAGCCUCUUUUUGCAAAAAAAGAACUGCUUUCUACAAACAGUAGAUAUUAAAGAAAAUCAAAAUAUAAGAAAAUAGUUUCAAAUCUUGCAAGUCAGCAUGUCAUCUUGCCUUAACUUCAAGUAAUAAUAAUAAUCAACUAAUAACAAUAGCAUGAUUAGAAAAUAUAAUAAUCACAGAAACUGACACCAUUGCUGUGGGGCAAUGUGAAUCAAAAACCAAAGUGAUGCACUGCAAAAAAAUUAUUCCAUGGAAAAAUUAUUAUAUUACUUUAUGCCUGAAAUAAUAAUAGUAAAAUCCUCUGUAUUCUUCCUUGCUUUCUUUUUCCCCUGUGAGUCCAAAAAAUAAUCUAGUUUGAACACUAAUUUCAUCCAAAGGGAUGCUGUGUUUUAACCAAAGACGAUAAAAAGGAUUAAGGCGCACCAUGCUUUAUGAAGUCAGAGAAGAAACUCAUUAAAGAUUAAAUUCUGCCAGCAAUCCAUCAUGCUGCCUUCCAGGCAAUUUGAAUUAAGGUAUUAGACUUUGGGACUAAAUCAUUUUCACCCAACUAGCACAGUAUCAUCUCCAGCUUCUGAAUAGAAGCUACCCAGGCUCCUUUCUGCCUCCAGUGCCAGGGAAUCCACUGUCUUAAGUACCAGGGUGCAACUUUGGAGAGUAGAACUUCUACUUCCACUGUAGAAAUUGGACAGAUCAACAUGAUGGGAAAAACGUCACAACAAAGGCGUGAUGGCAGAAGGACCAGCAAGAAGGACUAGCUUAAAGGCAAAGAAAGAAAUUACACACCUCUAUCUGAAGAUUCCAGAUUUGCAGGAAAAUGCUCCACCAAGAAGGGAUCUAAAGAAAAUGAUCCUUCCCAGCUGCAAUCAGCCCUUAAAUGGGGUCUAAGAGAGGUGCAGCCAGGCUCCACCCCUUCCAUUCACACAGCUGAAUUGCCUUCACCUGUGCUCCCAGGGCUGACUAUUCCACAGGUGCUCAGUCAGUGGUUCAGGCUGUGACUAAACAGUUACCAAACAGACAUAAACCAGCGCAUGGCAUUCAACACAGCACCCUGACUGCAAAAGGAACCAAGUGCCCUGGCACUUUAGAAAACACCUCCCAGCUGCAUUGGGAACGAUACUGUAUAAAAUACCACAACUUCGGGUAUCUUAGUCUUCAGAUGUCUCACUGCAAUGUGAGACUGACUACAUGCUGUUCAAGACAGCAUCUAAAUUAAUUUUAAAAAGCCAUCUGAAGAGACAUAAUAUCAGAAACCCAGCCAAAAAUGCCACAAAAAAAGCAGAAUGUGUAAUUUGCCUCAGUUCAGAAGGAAUAAAUAACAGAGCUGGGAACUGAAGGCA